CCAGAGUUCCCUAGCUCUCCAACCCAUUGUGAACAUACCUAUCGUUGCCCUCGGCGGCUCAGCCGCGUGCCUCCGGCUAACGGGACGGCCGCCAGAGGACACCUAAACUCUGAUUUUAUAUGUGAAUCUCUGGCGAAGCCUAAAACAUAAAUAAAUCA
rnacentral:misc_RNA from 1 species